rnacentral:tRNA from 2 species
GCGGGGGUGUCCGAGUCUGGUCAAAGGAGGCAGGCUUAGGACCUGCUGCCGUAGGGCUGCAUGGGUUCAAACCCCAUCCCCCGCA